rnacentral:rRNA from 1 species
GGUGAACGCUGGCGGCGUGCUUAACACAUGCAAGUCGAACGAGAACGGGUUAUAGCUUGCUAUAAUUGUCAGCUAAGUGGCGCACGGGUGAGUAAUGUAUAGGUAAUAUGCCUCUUACUAAGGGAUAACAAUUGGAAACGAUUGCUCAUACCCUAUACCCCUUAUUAACUAAAGUUAGUAAGGGAAAGAUUUAUUGGUAAGAGAUUAGCCUGUAUUGUAUCAGUUAGUUGGUGGGGUAAUGGCCUACCAAGACUAUGACGCAUAACUGGUUUGAGAGGAUGAUCAGUCACACUGGAACUGAGACACGGUCCAGACUCCUACGGGAGGCAGCAGUGGGGAAUAUUGCACAAUGGACGAAAGUCUGAUGCAGCAACGCCGCGUGGAGGAUGACACAUUUCGGUGCGUAAACUCCUUUUAUAUAAGAAGAUAAUGACGGUAUUAUAUGAAUAAGCACCGGCUAACUCCGUGCCAGCAGCCGCGGUAA